UUAUGUUGACGUAGAGCGAAU
ensembl:piRNA 21ur-6126 ncRNA